CACGUAGGGCGCAAGCGUUGUCCGGAAUUAUUGAGCGUAAAGAGCUCGUAGGCGGUCUGUUGCGUCUGCUGUGAAAACUCGGGGCUUAACCCCGAGCCUGCAGUGGAUACGGGCAGACUAGAGGUAGGUAGGGGAGAAUGGAAUUCCCGGUGUAGCGGUGAAAUGCGCAGAUAUCGGGAGGAACACCGAUGGCGAAGGCAGGUCCCUGGGCUGACACUGACGCUCAUGCACGAAAGCGUGGGGAGCAAACAGG
rnacentral:rRNA from 1 species